GGGUUUUGAAAGAUGUUGCUGCAUUCUCUUCAAUAACAGAAAGGAAUGAGCCAUGACAUUUUUUUUUAAUGAAAAUGCUGAUCUGUUCUUUAUCUUCACAGAGCUAAAUGAAAAGUUUCAAAGACUGACUUGGUUGAAUACAUUUAUCGUUUAAGCUUGUGGAAUGCAGAGUUGUGAACAGUUUGAUAUCUUUCUUCAUGUUUAGUUUGAUUUUUUAAAAGCAGGGGAGAGCUCAUCCCACUUAGUAUUUCAUCUUUUCCUGGGUCUUCACUAAACUGUGUUAGAUGGUUUCAUAUGGUAAGAAAACUGGUGUUGAGCAGUGUAACAUGUCUGCUAGGGAUGUUUGUAAUGAUCCCCCCCCCUUUUUUUUUUGCCUGAAUGGAAGCAGUGAUUCCUGUGGUUUUUUUUCUUUUUCUUUUUCUCUUAAGGUUUUCCAGUCCAUUCCUAUUUUUUUUCUUUUUUCUUUUUUCUUUUUUUUUAAUGGAUGAAAAUGUAGUAGAGGAACAACCCCUUCUUCCAGCUCUCUGUCACUGCACAAGAAAAAUGCGGUUAUUCUCUCUGUCUUAACCAGAAAGGCAGUGAAAGCUACUGUUGUUGUGUUAAAAUCAAGGGGGAUGUGAAUACCUCCGGUUGGAUAACUUCAGUUCAGCUACUGAAGAUAGGAAGUAUCUUUGGGUCCAAGUAAACUCAUGAAGAAACCACAUUUGGCCCUCAGUUGGUGUGAAGAGCAGGCAAACGCUAUUCCCAGGCUUAGCAUCCUGCCUAUGCUGAAGAUAUGGAUUGCCAAAAUUUGGACUUAGAGGUUUCAAACUUCUGUCCAGAAUGUGAUCUCUCCUGCAAGCAAAUAUUGGAGCCCAUUUCUAGCAUCAUAAUUCAGCUGCAAAUUGUACAGGCAUAGAUACGGCUUUUCUUCAGGCAGUGUGCUACGAAAGAAUUAACCUGAAUUAAUGGACUUAAAAAGCCCCCAAGAGUAGAGUAAUUUUCACCUAUAGUACUACUAUAAGGCACAUUGAUUGUUGUUGAUUUCCUUUGAUUUCAUUUCACAGACAUAUAAUAAAUCCAAUAAAAACGUUCACCUCUGAGCCUCACAAAAUCUUGAUCAGAGGAAUAAUGUGGUUUUCACACUCCUGCUCAUGAUCAGUGAUUUCUCUUUUGCAGAUUCUUUAACUUUGUAAUAGAUGAAACUGAAUCUUACAUUGGUUCAGUUGCCUUGAGUCUGGACAUAGGAAGUGGAUCUAAGCAAAAAUUUAUAGUCUUUCCAGGCUCAAUUGCUUUAAAUGGUCUUAUCUAGAUUGGGGAAAAAAAAAAAAAAAAGAAAAAAAAAGUACUUACUCUUUAUUGAAGCUACAAGUCCUAGAGUUUUUUGAAAGAUAAAACCUAUUAUUUCUUCUUCUUACUUCCAGCCUCUGCCUCAUAUCUGACUUCAGCAUAUUGCAGAGCUGUUUCCUAAGGUAUUUAGUCUUCUCAGACUGCUCUGCUGCAGUAUAUGCAGAUACAUUUCUGAACAUAAACCCUGUGGUAAUAUUAGGAUUAGCUCAUUUUUCCUACCACAUUUUUUUUUUCCUACCAAAUUUAUCUUAAAAUCUAUGUUUUUUUAUAUUAAAACUAUGCACAGAUCAGUGUUUCACUCCUAAAGCAAUAAUUCCUUUUCAUCUACAAACAUGAAUGUGGUGCUCACUGUAAUCCAUUCAGAAUACCAUCCUGUUCUGCUUGGUAAUAUUCACUUUCAUUUUACAUAAAGGUAAACUCCUGAUCCCAUGGAAGUUGACAGGAAAUUUGUAAUUGAAUGAAAAGUAGACUUCUACCAAAAUUUGUAAAUUUUCUAAUAAAAAGAUGGUAUUACCAUUUGUAAGUAAAUCAAAUCUGUAACACAUGGUUUAAUAUAUGCAUGUCACCUACAAAGAUAAUACAAAGAGCACAAAUACUUUCUAAUUACCUUUGUCACCUUCAUGAAGUCCCUGCCAGUGGUUCAUGAUGAGGUUAAGAAGACCCUGUUACGUUCUCAGCAGGGAUGAGACGAGUUGAUGAUCCUGGAGGUGGUGUCAUCCCAGCUUCAUGACUGCAAAACACCGAAAUCCUCCCUUCUGAAAGCUUGAAGAUGUACUAGAGGUACCAUCAAACUGCUAAUUCUUCUUGUCUACUGGAGGAAGAAGCAGUAGUCUCCCUGUACACAAAUGCCAAAGCAUUUUUGCUUUUAGAGGAGACAAGAAUCAAAAUUGUUCAGAGGAAGAAAUCCAAAUUCUUUUGUACUUGCAUGGAAUAAAUACAUAUCUUUUACCUUCCCCUUCAGGACUGUGAAUCUGAACAAUCUGAAUCAACUCUUCAGGCCUUGACUCUUCCAAAAAAAAAAAAAAAAAGUGUAUAAGUUUACUGGGAAUGUUUAACUUGUCAUUUUCUGUCCUUGGGCUAUUUCAUUUCUGAAGUGAAGACAACAAUACAUUAAAUUUGGUGUUAUCCUCUCUUCAAGUGUUUUCAUAAUAUUUUUUGCUUGUUUCCUGGAUGGAAAAUUCAAAUUAUGCUACUCUUUGUGUCAGCUGACUAAGGCAGCAUCUCUGGGGGCUCCAGAGAUGGGCAGGUUAACUUCUACACAGCCAAAAUGCUGUCACUGGCUUAUGGAAAUAGAAGAAUAGAUUUUGAUGCAGUGCCACAUUUUCGUUUGUGACAUUUUGUGUCUCUUCUAUUAAGAUUCAUUCUGAAUUUGUAGGUUAGUACUUUUGGAUCAUUCCAGUUGGGUAAAAAAAAUGGUGAAAGAACUGCACUGCAAAUGCAGAGAUAUCAUUAAACUGAUCAAACUGAUUUUUGGAGUUGUUGCAUAAGGCGUUGUGAAAGGGAAAUAGGCAGUGCUCUGUCAAUACUGGACAACAAAGUCUUGAGAUGCAACGAUGGAAGGAAAGAGGAGAGUAGCUAACACUAAUUGAUAAGUAAAAGAAUAAUUUGAUUUUCUUGUGUAUGGUGUCCUUCUAGUUAGCAUCUAUAUAAUUACUACAAGUUAUAUCAUUUGUUCAUACUGUGUCUGAAUAAAACUGAUGCUCACCUUGGUUUCUGUACCUUUUUUUCCUAGUAACUAAGUUAAGCAGAUCCCAUUUGUUUUUAAAGUUAUCCUCCUUUCUUUUAUCCCUUUCUUUCUCUUUUCUUUCCUUUUCCUUUCUUUCCUUGUCUUUCCCUUUCUUUUUUCUUCCUUGUCUUUUUCUCUCUUUUCUUCUUUCUCCCUCUCUUCUUUUUUUUCUUUCUU
ensembl:lncRNA